AUCUGCCAGUUGUACAGUCAGAGCACUUGUACUUAUACUGUCUGAACCCUUGCUUUUCCUUUUGGUUUCUGGUUUUGUUUUUGUUUUUUGUAUUUUUUUGUACUGUGUUAGAAAAACAAGAGCCACCGGCUCCCUCUUACUUAACAAAUGAUCCAGGGUCGUCUUUGUACGUGUGACUAAUAAUUUUAUUCUCCGUGCUGACAAAAUGAGUUACUUCUCGGGUUUUAACCCUAUGGGAAUAGAUAUAUGUCAGAUUUAUAAGUGGAUAGAAGUUUGUACAAUUAAUAAAUGUGAAAUGAUAAUAAAUGAUAAGUUAUACUUGAAAAUUGGCGCUCAAAUGAUCUUAUGCAGUUGCCAGCGCCGUAAAACCCUCUACUAAAACUAAACAUACUUGAAAAUAAUGGCAUCAGUUGAAAACCUACUAGCAACUAGGCCCCAGUGUCGAUUUUCGGCUGAUAUCUCCGUUUGUGGAUAGCAGGAAGUAACUCAUUUUGUCAACACACCUCAGUACUAUUCUGCGCGCUCGCGAUGUAGAAUAACGUGUCGUAUUGUUUGUGUUCUUGUUGGUAAGGAGCGGAGUGGCCAUUUUUUUUUCAACGAUUGCGUCUCGUCACCUGUUUAUGUCUGUGCUUGGGAAGUUAGGUUCUGGAUUUUUUUGUGAAAGUGAAAGUGAGUUGGGAGAGGGGAGUAGAAUUGAAGACCUGAGAUUUAAAAACGUGCCCAAGUCAAUUUUUGCUGAAUGGAGAAAGACAAAGAAAAAAAAUGAGCAUAGGACUUUAUUUGCUUCGGGAUACUUUGCAGGGUUUUUUCUCUUCUUCUCGAUACACCGCCAACGGUAGAGUGUCGUGUGCACUAUCAAUAGAUGUGGGGAAAGUCUUCUCUAUUUAUAGAAACCAAGAAGUUAGUUUUUUAGAAGUCAAUUUGGGACUUGGGCUCAGUCUGGUUCUCAGAUGUUCAAGUUUGACGGGAACGUAAAAAUCAUAACCAACAAGUCUUGGGCGGAAUAGUUUCGCUGUGUCAUAGCCGUCUCAUCCUCUCUCGUCUGUACAUACAAGAUGACCUGAUUACUUUUUUAAAGUUGACCUAAUUACAUAUUUUACAAAGCUGUGCUGGAAAAUUCUCAGAAUCUUCCUUUUUGUUUUUUUGUUUUGUUUUGUUUUCUUGGGUGAGGAUGUUUUUUCUAUGAAAGCCAGAAGUAGUUUGGAUGUUGGAAGGAGAUUUUUUAUUUUUUUAAAAAGUUUAAUAGAGACGCAGGAAAAACGGAGCGAAAGACAAGAGUAUUAUGGAAAUAUGAAAGAGAUGGAUAGAGAAAUGAGAAAAAGACAAGAGUAUGAAAAGAUAAAAGAGAUGGAUAGAGAAAUGAGAGAAAGACAAGAGUAUGAAAAGAUAAAAGAGACGGAUAGAGAACUGACAGAAAAUACUGUGUGGAAAGAGUGGAGAAAUGUGAGAUUUGGAUUAGUACCAAAUGUCAUUUUACUGUAAAGGUCACAAGUUUUUGCUACUUUGGAACUAACCAUGAUGACAUUUUGAUCUGUCUUUAUAUGCUGGUCUCGUCCAUAUGUAUAUAUAUAUAUAUGUUCUUCGAUGACUCUCGAUCUAACAUUCUAUUUCUGUGUGUGUUUAACAUUCAAGUUAUGCCGACCACCGCGGCUCCUCGGUCAUUUGAUUGGCUGCUCCUCGCGCGCGCGGGCGUGUUUGGAGUCAAGGUGGCUUCAGCUCGUAUGAAUUUAUGGAGAUUUACGUUGAUUCACAUCGUACCAGCUUGUUUGAUUUUAUAAUGGGGAUUUGUUUUAUAAAAUGCCUGCUUGUUUCAUUUCAUGGAGAUUCGUUUCAUAUCCUACCAGUUUGUUUGAUUGGUUUCAUGGAGAUUCGUUUCAUAUCCUACCAGUUUGUUUGAUUGGUUUCAUGGAGAUUCGUUUCAUAUCCUACCAGUUUGUUUGAUUGGUUUCAUGGAGAUUCGUUUCAUAUCCUACCAGUUUGUUUGAUUGGUUUCAUGGAGAUUCGUUUCAUAUCCUACCAGUUUUUGCACCUGGGCAAAAUGUUCCACCUUUCUGUAUCGUAGAAAUUCUGUCCAGUGCUGUAUGAUGCAGCUUGUUUUUUUAAAACUGUUUUCAUAGUUGUUAAGUUGUUGUUUUUUUAUCUAUUUCGUUUUUGUUUUAAUCUUUGUUUUUGUCUUUGUUUUUGUCUUUGCUUUCAUUUUGUUUAACUUCAUUAGUUUAUUCUUUGUUUUCUCUGUGUAUAAUUUAUGUUUUUGUCUUACCUGAGCAGAGGAUUCCAACUGGAGGUUUUCUUCUUUUACGGUCCUCCUUUUAAACAUUGUUCCAUCUGAUUUGCAUUUUGUUUGUGUUUGGGGCGUGUGUGACGUGUGGUGACGUACAUAUUUAUCAGGGAAUUUGCGGGGAAGCCGACGGCACAUAUCAUAAUAUAAUUUCUAAGCUAGCGGGUUGACGGCAGCCUUUUGACCUUGACUUGUCCAGACUUUCACGCCCGAGUUGGAAAGAUUUUGGUAGUCGUUUACUGUACUAGAGAUGUCAGCGCUGGAAGGAUUUUAAUACACGUUUUGGAAUUUUAGAAAUAAUAGUGGUAAUAAAGAUAACUGUAAUGAAAAUAAAGAUAAAAAUAAUGAUACAGUCGAGCAUGGGUAACAAACACGUAGGGGAUCUACAAAUGUGUUUUCACGGGCCCAUAAUUUGGGUUAAUGGAUUUUAAAAACAAGUAAAGAGAUAACGGAUAUCCGUCGCGUCAAGGAAUUGCAAAUUAUACGAGCUAUCCGUGAUUUUCAGUUCUCCGUGUUCAUGUUACCUUUGCCAGACUCUAAUAAUAAUAAUAAUAAUAAUAAUAAUAAUAAUAAUAAUACUUAUACUAAUAAUAAUGAUGAUUAUGAUGAUAAUGUGAAUUUAUAAAGCACCUAAUCCCUAGAAGGCUGUAAGCGCUGUAUAAUGCAGUAUUAUUAUCAUUGAAUAAAGCAGACAAAUCUGAGAGCAGAAAAUAUACCAGUACAUUUGGAGAUCAUGUAACAUUUCUUACGUCGUAGCAUAAUGAGCUAAAAAUAAGAAAACUGUUAAGAAUUUUCUGAAUUUAUUUUUUUGUGCCGCGUAUUUUUUAAGACUCAUUUUUUUUUUUUUUUGUUAAAGAUGACAGAUAUAAUAUAAAACAAAUGUGAAAGAAUUCUGUUUGUUUAGAGACGAUUAAUUAAUUCUCUGUUGAUUUAAAGUUGUUGUUUGUGUGAACGGACAGGGAAUUUUUGUUCAUUUUUUUCAUCCUCCACCGCCAUCGCAUUUUUUUAUUUAAGUACUUAGAAUAGUCGAAUAAGAUUGUAAAAGAAGAAACACCAACAAAUAGUAAAGAAAUAAUAUGAAUAAUUUCUAUCUAUGCAAAACAUAUCAUUUUAGUGGAGUCUAGUUAUGAUUAGUGUUGUUUUGGUUGUUGUUGUUUUUUUCCUUUCUUAUGCAUUUUUCACCACUUGGUUUGAUUUUCUUUGAUGAUGUGAUUUUGUAGCCAGUUCUUGUAAUGGAAUACCGAAGGAGGUUAUUGAUGGUGUGUUGUGAUACUGUGCUGAGUGUGUGUUGUGUGUGUGUUGUGUGUGUGUUCCCUCAGUUGUAGUGUGUUGUAUGUGUGUCUUGUGUGGUCGUGUGGUGUGUGAAAUGUGUGUGUGUGUGUGUGUGUGUGUGUGUGUGUGUGUGUGUGUGUGUGUGUGUGUGGAGAGGGAAACAGAGAGAGACAAAGAGAGAGGAAGGGGAAACUUAGAUAUGAGUGGUUGGGUGUGUGUCUCUUCGUGUUGAGAGAGACAUUGAAAGAGAGAGAGAGAGAGAGGAGAGAUAGAAAAAAAAGCGAAAAGAAAGAGAGGAGAGAUAGAAAGACGAAGAAAGAGAGAGAGACACACCUGUAUUUCCUCUAGCUGUGGAGAUUACCUUGGGACCGUGAAGGCCUGCGAGGAUCCUGUUAUGUCUGUGUGUGUUAUAUACAUGUAUAAUGAUAUGUUAUAUUGGUAUAUAUAUUAUACAUAUAUUAUACUUUCUGUUUUGGAGUGGAACAUGCUUUGUGGAGAUAAUUCAACAGAUUUGUCUUUUUAAAAAAGAAGAGAAAGAGAGAGAGAAAGAGAGCGAGAAAGAGGGGGGGGGGGGGUGUGAGGAGAGUGAGUGAGGGAGAGACAGAAAGAGAGAGGAGGGGGAGUGAAAGGAGGAAUCGAGGAGAAGGAAGCUAGUGAGGGAGUGUGUGUGUGUGUUUGUGUGUGUGAGUGUGAGUGAGAGAAAGAGAUUGAGAGCGAGAGAGAAAGAGGGAUGGAAAAGAAACGUUUGUGUGAAUGUGCUAAUGUAGAAUUUCUUUUCAUUUAUCCAGUCAACAAAACACUGUUCACCAAGGUAUUCUGUUCACCACCUGGUUCCAUUACAGUUGUGAUUGCGUUCACCACCUGGUUCCAUUACAGUUGUGAUUGCGUUCACCACCUGGUUCCAUUACAGUUGUGAUUGCGUUCACCACCUGGUUCCAUUACAGUUGUGAUUGCGUUCACCACGGGUUCCUUUUCAACAUAAUAAUUAUGUCCACCGUGUGAUUCCGUUCACCGCUAAAUUCCAUUACAGCAUAAUUAUGUUCCCCAUGGGAUUCAAUUACAAUAUAGGCCCACUUAUGAUCACCAAGGGAUUCUGUUACCACAUAAUAAUGUUCACCAAGGGAUUCUGUUUUUUUUAAAAGGGACAUGUCUCUUUCUUCCCGCGACUCCCAAAAGGGUAUAAGGGGCGGAUAAAAGACAAGUUAAGUAAGGGAUUCUGUUACCACAAAGUUUCAUCUGUUCUGGGUAGAGGGAUGCUGUAUGAACACCAAAAGUUUCCAAAUGCUGUCCUAGUCCUGUUGCUUUGUGGGAGUCAGUUCUUCAAGGUGAACAUUUUUAGGUGAACUCUGACUUCUUCAAGGUGAACUUUGUGAGGGGAACACUGACUUCUUCAAGGUGAACUUUGUGAGGUGAACACUGACUUCUUCAAGGUGAACUUUGUGAGGUGAACACUGACUUCUUCAAGGUGAACUUUGUGAGGUGAACACUGACUUCUUCAAGAUGAACAUUUUUAGGUGAGCACUGACUUCUUCAAGGCGCACUUUUGAGGUGAACACUUCAAGGUGAUUUUUAAACUUUAAAAUCUGAACGGUUGAACCAAGGUGAACGGUUGAACCAAGGUGAACCGGUGAACCAUUGAACCAAGGUGAACCAUUGAACCAAGGUGAACCGUUGAACCAAGGUGAACAGUUGAACCAAGGUGAACAGUUGAACCAAUGUGAACAGUUGAGCGUCCGUGGUGAGGUGUCGGAUGUUUUGUUGGCUGGGUGAGUGCGGAGUGUAAUUAUAGCAAUACCUAAAUAGUCGUUUGUCUGUGUGGUGAUGUACUGUUGCUAUGACAACACUGUUCCAUUGAACUUUGAGAUGAAAAAACAAUUAAUGAAACAAAUUAAAAUGUAUAUAAUGAAC
rnacentral:lncRNA from 1 species